UCCAAUGAUGGCAUGUAAUCUUUGAGACCUGAUUAUCUCUGAUUUGAUGAAAAGCUAUAAGCAAUUUCUUCUGAGGAA
rnacentral:snoRNA from 1 species